CAGUAGCGUAUAUUAAAGUUGUUGCAGUUAAAAUGCUCGUAGUUGAAGUUCGGAUGCAGCAGAGCUUGGAAACGCUGUUAUGGUGCUUCCGUUGCUUUUGCUUGUCCACAGUGCGUUGCAAGUACGUAUGUGCUUGUGCGUGCAUUUUACUUUGAGAAACAUAGGGUGUUCCACGCGUGUUACGGCAUGAAUAUUCCAGCAUGGGAUAAUCUGGUACGACUUCCAAUCUGCCAUUUUGGUUCGUAGGUUGGAAGUAAUGAUUAAUAGGGACUGUCGGGGGCAUUCGUAUUCCGUUGUCAGAGGUGAAAUUCUUGGAUUUACGGAAGACGAACAUCUGCGAAAGCAUUUGCCAAGGAUGUUUUCAUUGA
rnacentral:rRNA from 1 species